rnacentral:rRNA from 1 species
AAGACCUUGCGCUUUUGGAGCGGCCGAUGUCUGAUUAGCUAGUUGGUAGGGUAAUGGCCCACCAAAGCUUCGAUCAGUAGCUGGUCUGAGAGGACGACCAGCCACACUGGGACUGAGACACGGCCCAGACCCCUACGGGAGGCAGCAGUGGGGAAUUUUGGACAAUGGGCGCAAGCCUGAUCCAGCCAUGCCGCGUGAGUGAAGAAGGCCUUCGGGUUGUAGAGCUCUUUCAGCCGGGAAGAAAAGGCUACGACGAAUAAUCGUAGCUCAUGACGGUACCGGAAGAAGAAGCACCGGCUAACUACGUGCCAGCAGCCGCGGUAAUACGUAGGGUGCGAGCGUUAAUCGGAAUUACUGGGCGUAAAGGGUGCGCAGGCGGUUUUGUAAGUCAGAUGUGAAAUCCCCGGGCUUAACCUGGGAACU